UGGUAAAACAGCUUUACUUUCUAAUAACCUUCGCUUCUACGGAAAAUAGGGGGAGAAAGGUGAAGAAAGCUUGCUGAACUGGGGGGAGAAGGGGGGUAAUUCUGGCUACUUCCGCUUAUGCCCUAUAAGGGCAAAAGGACAACCUUGGGGCCUCUCGCUACUCUUGGAAUCUGAUGUGGACUAAUGGGUUUAUGAGGUAAGGGGUCUCACGGGUCACCUUCCCUACCAGCCCUGGGUGGUCGAACAGGCUCACUGGCCAUACUGGACGUGACACACGCCUAAGACUCGUCGAGUGGGGAAUGUGGGGAAUUGGGCGCAACCCGGGCAAGCCCGUUCCACCCGUGCCGAGUGUGCGAUCAAGGUUUUAAGGAUUUUAAGUGCUUUCAAAAGGGUGGAAGGUAAUACCGUUAACCUCUUUGGUUACCCACGUUACCCGCACAAGAUACCUCCGUUAAAUCCGCCCCGGUAAUCACAGUUAUUAUU
rnacentral:rRNA from 1 species